UCGAUGGGAAGCAGGUUAAUAUUCCUGCACGACUUGUAAUUGCGAUGGGGGGACGGAGAAGGCUAGGUGGGCCAGGCGACGGUUGUCCUGGUGAAAGUGCGUAGGUGGUGUUUCUAGGCAAAUCCGGAGACACAACACUGAGACACGAGACGAACACACUACGGUGUGGAAGCCAUUGAUGCCCUGCUUCCAGGAAAAGCCUCUAAGCUUCAGAUUACAAGUCAUCGUACCCCAAACCGACACAGGUGGUCGGGUAGAGAAUACCAAGGCGCUUGAGAGAACUCGGGUGAAGGAACUAGGCAAAAUAGAACCGUAACUUCGGGAGAAGGUUCGCUCUUGACAGUGAAGUCCCUUGCGGAUGGAGCAGUUGGGAGUCGCAGUGACCAGAUGGCUGGGACUGUUUAUCAAAAACACAGCACUCUGCAAACACGAAAGUGGACGUAUAGGGUGUGACACCUGCCCGGUGCCGGAAGGUUAAUUGAUGGGGUUAGCGCAAGCGAAGCUCUUGAUCGAAGCCCCGGUAAACGGCGGCCGUAACUAUAACGGUCCUAAGGUAGCGAAAUUCCUUGUCGGGUAAGUUCCGACCUGCACGAAUGGUGUAACCAUGGCCAUGCUGUCUCCACCCGAGACUCAGUGAAAUCGAAUUCGCCGUGAAGAUGCGGUGUACCCGCGGCUAGACGGAAAGACCCCGUGAACCUUUACUACAGCUUGGCACUGAACAUUGAACCUACAUGUGUAGGAUAGGUGGGAGGCUUUGAAGGCGUGACGCCAGUUGCGCUGGAGCCGUCCUUGAAAUACCACCCUUGUAUGUUUGAUGUUCUAACGCAGGGCCCUGAAUCGGGCUCGCGGACAGUGCCUGGUGGGUAGUUUGACUGGGGCGGUCUCCUCCCAAAGAGUAACGGAGGAGCACGAAGGUUGGCUAAUCCUGGUCGGACAUCAGGAGGUUAGUGCAAUGGCAUAAGCCAGCUUAACUGCGAGACGGACAGGUCGAGCAGGUACGAAAGUAGGUCAUAGUGAUCCGGUGGUUCUGAAUGGAAGGGCCAUCGCUCAACGGAUAAAAGGUACUCCGGGGAUAACAGGCUGAUACCGCCCAAGAGUUCAUAUCGACGGCGGUGUUUGGCACCUCGAUGUCGGCUCAUCACAUCCUGGGGCUGAAGUCGGUCCCAAGGGUAUGGCUGUUCGCCAUUUAAAGUGGUACGCGAGCUGGGUUCAGAACGUCGUGAGACAGUUCGGUCCCUAUCUGCCGUGGGCGUUGGAUGAUUGAAGGGAGUUGCUCCUAGUACGAGAGGACCGGAGUGAACGAACCUCUGGUGUUCGGGUUGUCACGCCAGUGGCACUGCCCGGUAGCUAAGUUCGGAAUCGAUAACCGCUGAAAGCAUCUAAGCGGGAAGCGAGCCCUGAGAUGAGUCAUCCCUGACCCCUUGAGGGUCCUAAAGGGCCGUUGGAGACCACAACGUUGAUAGGUGGGGUGUGUAAGCGCAGUGAUGUGUUGAGCUAACCCAUACUAAUUACCCGUGAGGCUUAACCAU
rnacentral:rRNA from 1 species